rnacentral:lncRNA from 1 species
CACAGGUUCCUGAAGGGACGUAGGAGGAUGUGAUCUGUGUCCUAUCUGGAAUAUCAAGGGGAUGAAGGCAAUGGAAGUAGCUACCACUUGGUGACUUAGACAAACUCUUAAUGUAAAACCACCAUCAGAGCCACCCUGGAGUUAUGGCAAGGCCACCACAGUCUCCUCCAAAGGCCACUGAUAUGGAACUGGGAACCUCCCUCCAUAGAAUGCUAAAUGGCUGAUGUGAACUUGGUUAAGGAUCUAUAAUUCUUCUUAUGAAGAGGAAAGUUCUGGAAGACCAAAGAAAAUAUGUCAUGAAAUCAAGCCAUUAAGAAGUUGUGACUCCAAAAAAGUAAAAGCGUGAGCUACUGUACACACAUGUAUGUUUCUAUCCAUGGCUCCUGGCUUACAACCCUCCGUAGCCCUGGUUACGGUCUUCUGUUAUAAUGUUGGGGUGCUUUAGGGCUCAGGAGCAAUCCUCAGGAAACAGAAUCUCUC